CCCAUCUCCCUCCAAUUUCUAUCCCCAUCUCCACUCCCUCUCCCCCACGACUGCAUCCAGCGGCGAGAUUUGAGGAUCACGCUGCCGGCGCACCCUGCGGCACCAGCCGCGUAAUCCUUCUCCAAUGACGGCUGCUCACCCGCCCUCCCAUCAAGCCCCGGCCGCUGCGCUUGCUCUCCACAAGGACCGGUCGCCACGCCUCGCCGGCCAAGAUCGGAUCCGCCAACCCGCGUCAUUUAAGUCGCCAGCCUCUACAGGCAACAUCAUAGCCGCUCGCCUCAUCGUCACCAUCGCCCACUCCAGCGCCUUCCCCAGCUUCCUUUCUCACCUCGUGCCUUACCAAGAUCUGUACAUUGCCUCACCACCCCUCCAUCACCCACUACUUGAGAUUAGAUGCUGAUUUAGAAGUUUGGUUUCGUCCAGCGACCAACAAGAUGCCAGCGUCUGGAGACAACAGGUUAGGGAGAGGCAACACGAUGAUGCAGUGAGGCUAGGGGAUAGGUGAGAAACUUUGCAAGGAACCCCGCUGCAAUACCAUUAGAUCUGGUCCCCUUCCAACUAUUCGAGGGUAUAUUUCGCUGCUUCCUUAUUUCUUCCAUAAUUUCCGGAUGUAAGAUUUCUGAUCUGUAAUUUGAUUCUUCUAACCACCUAUUUAAGAUCUCCUUUUCCUAGUGGCAGUUCUUCUCAAAGGUAUGGUUUAGGCGUAUAUGUUCCUCCCUGUCUCUAAAUUUCUACAAUGAAUAAUUUCAACUCACAUUUCCCCUUUAAGCUUCAAGUUCAUGUAGUCUCCAGAACAUUUAAUAUGUAACUAGACUCUACGUUCAGAGUAUUAACAUUUAACAAUGAAACUUUACUAGAAAUUGCCUUUUAUUAGUAGUUAUGGACAAUAAAUUAAUAUUCUGCGAUAAAAGUUAACAAGGUAAAGAUAUGUUGAGGGCUCCUAUCAUGGGCUAAUACUGCUCAGCGAAACAAAAAAGGAUUAUGUUAUUCUGUAAUAUUUUUUCUCCAUGUGAACACUUGUCAGUAUAUUGUUUCUCUUCUUUGUUUUAUUCCGUAAACGUAGGUGCAUUAGUCGACUGCUUACUGUAGGUAUCAGGUUGGGUUUGCAAUAUCAAGAUAAUCUUAUCGGCCUUGCUAUGUUGGUACAGUCUGAAGCUUGUUCGUUUUACUACUUGCUUCUCCACUUUCUAUUUUCUUACAAUGUAAUACUGGAUAAUUCUUUAACUGGUUGUGUAUGCCUAACAUUUAAGCUCAUCGUGUACUUCCUUUUCCCGUAACUUAUAUUUUUAUUUGUUAUAUUUAGAUUCAGGAAGCAUCGUACAACAGCAGUGCGAGUACACAAUUAGCUGUAGCUGCAGAAGAAGAUGAGCACCAUGAGGAUUUAGCCGCGAGACUUGAAGCACAAGAGAGAGAAUUUGAAGAGAUGCAAAGAAGAGCCAACAAGAGAAGAAUGAAGCCCGGCAAAAGAAGCAACAUGAGAUGGAUACCUUGAUUGGAUUUCUUUUAAGGGCUCAAGCAACCUAGCAAGCAAAUCAGUCCAACCUGAUGGUGCAUGAAGGCCAUCAUUUUGUGAAAGAAAGAUAGUUGUUUAAUCAUACAUUGCAAUCAUCAGGACAACAUAUGUGGUCUUUUAGUUAUCUAAAUAUUACUUUUCAUCUUA